GUAUGUGAGUCGUGAGCACAGCUGGCCUGCUGUGUUUUGGUGUGUGCCAUGUGUGUUUACAGCUGGCCUGCUGUUUGCAUGUGUUCUGGUGUGAGCUACAUGUGCUGCGUGCAGCUGGUCUGGUUGUGUGUGUGUUGGUAUGAGCUGGCCUGCUGUGUGUGUGUGUCUGUCCCACUGUGUGUGUGUAUGCAACUGGCCUACUGUGUGUGUGUGCUACGUGCAGCUGGCCUACCCUGUGUGUGUGUGUGUGUGUCUGGCCUACCCUGUGUGUGUGUGCUGGUGUGAACUGUGUGCUACAUGCAGCUGGUCUGGUUGUAUAUGUGUUGGCACGAGCAGUGUGUGCUGGUGUGAGCCAUGUG